AAAAAUGAAAUGCAAUGACUGGUCUGAAAAUGUGUUUUUUAUACGUAUGUAAAUAUAUACAUAUUACUUCUUAAAAAAAUUUUAAUUAAACUAUUUUGUAACCUUCUAAAUUUUGACUUUCGUCCAACUGGCAUUGUGUCAUACUAUUCAAUUACGUUUUCACAUUCGUUACCUAUUUUGUAGAAAUUAUAUCCAGAAAAUAAAUUUUUACUCUUUUACUUCAAUGCUAGUUUAUAUUUUGCGGGUUCAUUUCUAUAAUUACUAGAUAGACAGACAUCCAGACAGACAUUAUAUCGUAUUCAACGAUGCAUUCUGAUUGUGUUUAAGUACGUAUGAGAACUCUGAAUUGCGACACGUGAUAUUGGGUUGGAUGUUGAAUGGCAUGUACACUGGAAUAUUGGAGUAAUUCUGUGGGGGCUGUUGCUUAUGGUAACUGAUCACCAUUUCUGUUUAUUAUGGGCAAUAUGACAGUUACGCAUCAUUUUAAUGAUGCCUAUAAAUCACUUGCUUGGAAUAAUGUAUCGAUAGAUGAAAAUAUUGAUUACCUAUUUUUAUUAUUAUUAAUUUUUUUCUGACAUGUUAAUAAAAGAUCUUCGAAUAAAAUGGAAUAUGGACUACGGUAGCUAGGUAAUUUAAUCGAAACGUUAAAUGGUUAAAUGUGUUUAUAUUUUUCGCUGAAAUAUUUGUUUGAUGUCCUUAGAAUCGGAUUUUGUAAGAGUUAGUUCAAACAUAUGAUUUCGUUGCAUAGGCAAUUUAAAAAAUAAUUUUAGAGUUCCCCUCACGUUGCGAAUAGCCUAUAGUUGCUUGAAUAACGAAACAUAGGGUUAAUGGUUAAUAUAUUGAUGACCGCAGUGCUCUGGGCUUUCAUUUGAAAAUCUACAUUCAACAAUAUAUAAUUGGUUUAUUAUAUGUAAAUAAUAUCAGUUUUAUUUUGUGUAUAAUAUGUAUUUACAAUUCGUUGAAUUAUGGGUAGGGUAAAAUACUAUAAUCAUUUUGUGAGUUAAUCAUGUACAUGAAAUAUAACAAAAUAUUCAAACAUCAAAUAGGUUUAUUUUCGAAUUGUAUAUAUCUAUAUUCAUUAGCGUACUAAACAUUAGAAUACGUUAUAAAACGAUUCAUCUCAUUUAUUUAAUGGAUUAUUACUGUUUUGUAAAUAAAAAUAAGAUAUGAAGGGCCAUGGAAUAUGGAAAUCACCAAUUAUCUCAAAAACAAUUAUUUCGGCUUACAUCAUCAUCGCUGCGAACAGUAGAGAAUUGAGAUCCUGCUCGCCCUGUUCGAGUUUAAAACUUAUACGUGGAUAGGUCAUCGCAAAAAACGUUGUAGCCAAUGUUGCAGUUGUAAGUGCAAAUCUGCGAAGCAACCUUUGAGCAGAAGGUGUCAAUCUGAGUAACAAACAUUUAUUAAUUAUUAGUUAGCCUAUUUUUCUUGCCACUGUAACUUAUACUCCUGUCGAUAACUAAAAUUGAAGUCGAUAUUGGGAAAGUGAUUGGUAUGACAAGAACUAUGCAAAUUGAGAAUGUAAAGCGUCCACUGAAAUGCUAUGAUUGUACGGCUGAUGUUAAGUAUCUCAAGAGGUAAUUCAAUUAUCACUUGUUAGAUACAUAUUAAUCAUGGUCAGCUUACGCUAGACGGGUCAAAUGUGCUUUUUGUAAAUAUUUUGUGCUGUUUCCGUUGACAUUUUUCUUCGGGUAAUGUUAAACAGGAUUCAUUUGAUGAAUCGAAUAAGAAUACAAAGGUUUUUACACUUUCACAACUUUUCACCGCUAAAACUAUCGGGAGUUCAUUUAGUUCAUAAUAAGGAAUCCAAUGAAUAGUUAAGGAGGACUAAUAGUGAAGAAAGCAUAUAUGGAUUAACAAUGCUGCAUAUUCGUUAGUAUGUACUUGUAAACAAGGAGCAAUUAUUAGAAGAUGUGCAAACAAGUGGCCUGAACUAAUAACCAAAUACUGUUUUUUGGAAAAUACGAUAUACUUCUUUUUUUGUUAUAUAUUUUUUUCCAGAUACGGAAAAUUUUUCUUAGGACAUAUGUUCUUCAAGAAGAUAUUGUAAUUCGGAGAACUGUUAAGUGCUUCCCUUCGGUUUUGAGCAGGAUACGCCUUUAACCUAAUGAUAAAAUUUUAAUAUGAAUAGGGAUUUUUAAUCUCUGUUCGACUACCGAUAAUAAUUAAAGGAAUAUCGACAUCAAAAGUGGACACAUAUGAUUAUAGUAUUUCAAAUUUAGGCGAUACAUUCUAAAUCUAAAGUGAUUCUGAUUUAACUAAUACUGUAAUAUAAGGCUCUAAAAUUCAUCGUAGCUGGCAACGUGGAUAUAUUGGAAAAUUCAAUAAUUUCAUUUACUAAUGUAAAUGCAAAGUUAAAAUGUGAAUUCAUAAAGCCGUGAAUUUAUAAAUAUCUUCUCGUAAAGCUAAUUUUGUUAAUUAUUGUGUUAAUUAUAGUGAUGAAAUAAACCUAUGCUUAUUGUUGUAUUUAUCAAUAAUAGACCGUGCCUUUAGUCUAA